AACAUCGCGCACCUGCGGGAACCUGCGGAGGGAUCAUUACCGAGUGAGGGCCCUCCGGGUCCAACCUCCCACCCGUGUUUAACGAACCUUGUUGCUUCGGCGGGCCCGCCUCACGGCCACCGGGGGGCACCCCGCCCCCGGGCCCGCGCCCGCCGAAGACACCUGUGAACGCUGUCUGAAGUUGCAGUCUGAGACACUAGCUCAAUCAGUUAAAACUUUCAACAACGGAUCUCAGAUCGG
rnacentral:misc_RNA from 1 species